CUCUAAUAGAAUUUAUUAUUAGUAAGAUCUGCUCAAUGAUAAAUUUUAAUAGCCGCAACUUAUGUUGUGCUAAGGUAGCAUAAUCAUUUGUCUUUUAAUUGUUGACUAGAACGAAAGAUUUAACUUUUUUAUAGCUAUAAAUAAAUAUAAUUUUAAUUUAUUCUAAAUGUUAAAAAACAUUUAUAUGUUAAAAAGACGAUAAGACCCUAUUGAACUUUACUUUAGUUAAACUGGGGCAGUUUAAUAAUUAAAACUUUAUUAUAAUAAAAUUAAAUUAAAAGAUCCAAACCAUUUGAUUAAAUGAUCAAGUUACCAUAGGGAUAACAGCGUAAUAAUUUUUUAAAGAUCUUAUUUAAAAUAAAGUUUGCGACCUCGAUGUUGAAUUAAUAUUCUAUUAAAUGCAAUAAUUUAAUAAGAAAGUCUGUUCGACUUUUAAAUAAUUACAU
rnacentral:rRNA from 1 species